AGUGGCGGACGGGUGAGUAACGCAUGGGAAUCUGCCUUUUGCUGGGGGAUAACGUAGGGAAACUUACGCUAAUACCGCAUAAGACCUAAGGGUGAAAGCGGGGGACCGAAAGGCCUCGCGGCAAGAGAUGAGCCCRUGUUGGAUUAGCUAGUUGGUGGGGUAAAGGCCUACCAAGGCGACGAUCCAUAGCUGGUCUGAGAGGAUGAUCAGCCACACUGGGACUGAGACACGGCCCAGACUCCUACGGGAGGCAGCAGUGGGGAAUAUUGGACAAUGGGGGGAACCCUGAUCCAGCAAUGCCGCGUGUGUGAAGAAGGCCUUCGGGUUGUAAAGCACUUUCAGUAGGGAGGAAAGGUGCGUAGUUAAUACCUGCGCAAUUGACGUUACCUACAGAAGAAGCACCGGCUAACUCCGUGCCAGCAGCCGCGGUAAUACGGAGGGUGCGAGCGUUAUUCGGAAUUACUGGGCGUAAAGCGCACGCAGGCGGUUGCCCAAGUCAGAUGUGAAAGCCCCGGGCUUAACCUGGGAACUGCAUUUGAAACUGGGCGACUAGAGUAUGAAAGAGGAAAGCGGAAUUUCCAGUGUAGCAGUGAAAUGCGUAGAUAUUGGAAGGAACACCGAUGGCGAAGGCAGCUUUCUGGGUCGAUACUGACGCUCAUGUGCGAAAGCGUGGGGAGCAAA
rnacentral:rRNA from 1 species